UACGUAGGCGGAAAAUUUAGUCAGUGGUGAAAUCCCGCAGCUUAACUGUGGAACUGUCAUUGAUACUGGUUUUCUUGAAUUUAGUUGAGGUAGGCGGAAUGUGUAAUGUAGCGGUGAAAUGCUUAGAUAUUACACAGAACACCGAUUGCGAAGGCAGCUUACUAAGCUAUGAUUGACGCUGAGGUACGAAAGCGUGGGGAGCGAACAGGAUUAGAUACCCUGGUAGUCU
rnacentral:rRNA from 1 species